rnacentral:rRNA from 1 species
UACAGAGGGUGCGAGCGUUGUCCGGAUUUACUGGGCGUAAAGGAUGCGUAGGCGGACAUUUAAGUCAGAUGUGAAAUACCCGAGCUUAACUUGGGUGCUGCAUUUGAAACUGGGUGUCUAGAGUGCAGGAGAGGUAAGUGGAAUUCCUAGUGUAGCGGUGAAAUGCGUAGAGAUUAGGAAGAACACCAGUGGCGAAGGCGACUUACUGGACUGUAACUGACGCUGAGGCAUGAAAGCGUGGGGAUCAAACAGG